GACGAACGCUGGCGGCGUGCUUAACACAUGCAAGUCGAACGGUAAGGCCCUUCGGGGUACACGAGUGGCGAACGGGUGAGUAACACGUGGGUGAUCUGCCCUGCACUUCGGGAUAAGCCUGGGAAACUGGGUCUAAUACCGGAUAGGACCACUGCCUGCAUGGGUGGUGGUGGAAAGCUUUUGCGGUGUGGGAUGGGCCCGCGGCCUAUCAGCUUGUUGGUGGGGUGAUGGCCUACCAAGGCGACGACGGGUAGCCGGCCUGAGAGGAUGACCGGUCACACUGGAAGUGUGAUACGGCCCAGUCUCGUACGGGAGGCAGCAGUGGGGAAUUUUGCCCAAUGGGCACAAGCCUGAUGCAGCGACGCCGCGUGAGGGAUGACGGCCUUCGGGUUGUAAACCUCUUUCAGCACCGACGAAGCGCAAGUGACGGUAGGUACAGAAGAAGGACCGGCCAACUACGUGCCAGCCGCCGCCGUAA
rnacentral:rRNA from 1 species